GGAUUAGGGUCCAAUUUGGUUUUUGGUUAGAUUUAUAUUUAAGUUUGGGUUGGGUUUGGGUUAGGUCGGAUCCACAUUCAAAUUAGGGUUUGGAUUUGGGUUAAGUUUCAAUUAGGUUUGGGUUUGAAAUAGCAUUGAAAUUUAGGUUAGGGUUUGGGUUUGGUCGGAUAGGCAUUUUGGUUAGAGUUUGCAUUUGGAUUUGGGUUUGGGUUGGGCUUGGAUUAGAUCA
rnacentral:lncRNA from 1 species